AGAGAGGUGUCCGAGUGGUUGAAGGAGCACGCCUGGAAAGUGUGUAUACCUCAAAAGGGUAUCGAGGGUUCGAAUCCCUUCCUCUCUGCCA
rnacentral:tRNA from 2 species